GCCCCGGGCCCCUCCGCCCGCGCCGCUGCCGCCGGCCUCCCCCUCCCCGCACGCUCACCUAGCCCGCGGUCCCGGGAAGUUCCCGGCCGCUCCCGGCGCCCCGGCUCCGCUGCCUGGCCGCGGCUGCGCAGGGGUGCCCGGCGGGGCGCUUCCCGGCUGCGCGCCGAGCCCGGCUCCCGGCAGAGAGUGGCCGCAGACUCGCGCGGCGCGGCGGCCUGAAAGGCAAGCCAGCCCCCGCCGCUGCCUCCAGCCAGCCCCGGUCCUCCGGGGGUCACCUGCACAGGCUCCGCCUGGCACGGCGCGUGGCACCCGCGGGCCGCAAGGAUGCUGGAGAGAGGACGAGCCGUGAGUGCGGGGAAGGGGUCCCGGAGCCUGGCCCCGCGGAAGUGAGUCUUUGUGCGCCCCGCUCUGACACACCCUCCCGCGGCGCUGAAGGCCGGGCUACCUGCGCGCCAGGCAGUGCCCGGGAGCCGGCCGGGUGGGGCGCCGGGGAGUGCAGCAUCCUCUCGGGCCGCUCGCUCCCUUUGUUCCGCCCGCUCGGCCAGGCUCCGCGCCACCGCCCGGCCCUUGCUCCCGGGAGCCGGAGGUGGACUGGGAGCGAGCCACCUGCCACUGGGAAUUCCGUCGGUCGGGUUCUCCCCACCGAACGCGACUGGCUCCCAGAGGACCAGCAAAGUUCACGGAACGACGGCACCCGGACUGCUGGCCUGGCGCGAGGAGAACCGGGCGCGGGAGCCGCGGGUGUGGCUGCGGAUAGGGUGUCCGUCUGCUCGCGUGCGGGAUGUCCAUUUGUUGCCUCCAACCUCUGGUUCUUGAGAAGCGGCCGCAGCUGGUCCCGGACCGAGACCGCGCCGCCCUUUGUUUGCUGUCACCUUCCAGAACCCGAGUACACGUCACAAGCUCCCAGGCAUCCACAGGGGCACUGCACUUCACAGUUGAUGGAAAUGCUUCUCCUCCCUCAUCUCUGAGGAAAUGAAGGUCUGAUGGGAUUGAAAGCCAUCUACAGGUGGCCUUGCCACUUCUAAAUGAAAAAGGCGAAAAGUGGGAAGUUGCAUUCAGCGUGUGUUUUGCACGAAUGGUUGUAGAGGCAGCAAGAUGGGCCCGGCCAACUUCUUUCCUGGAACCACUCAGCAUCUCAGCAUCUCCACAUCUCAGCACCUCCGAAUCUCAGCAUCCAGCUCGAGCUGUGAACCACAUCUGUGGUGCAUCUGUGCUUUAUCUGGUUUAUUUCAUGGACCUAAGGGCUGCAUCUACAACAACACUGAUCCUUUAACCCACUGUGUGGGGCUGGGGAACAACCUGUGUCCUGGUGCUGCUGAGACGCCACCAAUCCCGUUGGGCUACAGCAGAACGCCUGGAGAGGAUAUUUUAAUAUAUUGAAUCAUUGAGAAAUGAUAAAAGGAGAAGUCCAUACACAUUCAUGAUUUUCCUUUUUUUAAAAAAUUUUUUGAGAAUGAUAACAUCCCCUGAGGAGCCCUCUUGAAGGAAGAGAACAGAAACGUCAGCAUCCUGGGUUGUUCUCAUGCCCACAGACACUUUCCGUGGGGGAGCAGUGACCCCAAGCGUGGCCCAGGGUCCUCAAGACCCUCUCCAAAAGGGUUCCUAGGGUCAAAACUAUUUUCAUAAUACCAGAGAUUUGUUCCUUUUUCAGUCUCCUGCUCUCCUGAUUGUACAGGGGAAUUUUCUAGAAGCUGAUAGUGCAGACUGAUUGAGCAGACUGACUACAGACUGAUGGUGCAGACUGACGGUGGAGACUAACUGCAAACUGAGUGCAGACUGAUGGUGCAGACUGAUUGCAGAAACAGCUAUGAACAUUCACCUGUAUUGUUAGCCAGACAUUACAGCAAUUUGCAGAAAUGGAAGCAAUGUUACUCUCCUGCCUAGGUUUUUUGGUUUUGUUUUGGAAACCAUAGUUACAUUUUCACAAAAAUGUGUGACUGGCAUGACCAGGUGACAAAACUAAUUACACUCAACACAUGUUCAUUCCGGGACCUGCUCUAGGUGCUAGGAAACAUCAGAGAGGACGUCACACAUACAGAUCCAUGGGGCUCAAACUGUGUGAGGUGACGUGGACCCCACGGAAACUCACUGAGAGGCUGCAGGAAGGUUUAACUUUUCAAGGGAAGCACAGUGAUGCUUGGCCCCUGUGGGAUAACAUGGUUUGACGGUCUCUCCAUUAGACUGUGCAGCACUUACUGAAGAUGUCAUCUCUCUCUGAAAUCGCAUUUCUGGAAGUUGUUGGGAUUAAAAGCUUAUGACAUGCCUGAAGCUUUACUAGCUUCUCUGCUUCCCAGCAGCUACCCACCGACCAGCUCCUCACACUCUUGCUAUGAGCCAUGAAUCAAAACAUAUUUUGAGGAGAAAAGCAACCCAGAAAGGCCCUGUUGGAUACCCCACCUCCUCCUCUGAGAAUAUCAGGGGCUGGUUGCACAGGUGCGUUAUUUUGGCGAGAAUUAAUUGGGCUGAUAACACUUAGGAUCCAGUCCCUGGAAUUCAACGCUUAAAAAUACUUGGUUUCUUUGAUUGGAAAACGGUAUUUGGAAAACGAAAUCAGACUAUGAGGACCUCUAUGCAUUGAAUCCAAAUGCCAGAGACUCAUGAAAACUCUGCAGCUGGAGCAGUCCCCAUGCAAGCAGAGAACUUCGACUGGAAUCAGAGAUGCUGCAGAGAGGGAGCUGGAAAGAUUCAAAGGGUGAGACAAGCUGGACCCAACAUUCCUGGUUGGGGAGGAGGGCACCUGGAGAGCAGGAGGAGGAAGGCCGCCAGCCCUGAAGAAGGAAGAGUGGCCCCUGGCUGACCCCCAGCAAGAACACAGGGAUCUCAGCCCUGCAAGGACGAGGCGGGAAUGCGGCCAGCAGCCUGCAGGAGCCUGUAAGUGGAUUCUUGCUCCGAGUCUACAGGGAAGGGCACAGCCCCACAAAUGCCCUGUGAGCCCAUGGACAGAGGAGCCACCUGACCCCAGAUGGACCAUCGAGCUAUAGAAAAUGUCAGAGAAAACAUGAGUGUUGUUUUAAGCUACUAAAUUGAAUGGCAGUUUGUUCUGGUGACCACAGAAAUGGAAUACGAAAGCCAUUGCAGUACAGUCGCCCACCGUGAGUGAAUGUUCUAGCAUGUAAAUUAGUUCUCAGUAAUUAAAGAAUCUUGAUACAGCAAAAAUAUUAGAUAUGAGCUAGAAUAGGUAGAGAAGAAGGCCAUGGAGGUGGAUGGUUCUAUCUGAGAAAGGAUUUUAUCAUUACCAAGAGAGGCUGAGAUGGAGUAUUUAAAUUUUAAUACUGGAGUUCCCAUUGUGGAGCAGCAGAAACAAAUAUGACUAGGAACCAUGACGUUGCGGGUUCGAUCCCUAGCUUUGCUCAGUGGGUUAAGGAUCCGGUGUUGCUGUGAGCUGUGGUGUAGGUGGCAGAUACAGCUCGGAUCUGGCGUUGCUGUGUCUGUGGCGUAGGCUGGCAGGUGCAGCUCUGAUUUGACCCCUAGCCUGAGAACCUCCAUAUGCCACAGGUGCCCUCAAAAGACAAAAGACAAAAAAAAUUUUUUUAACACCUCCCAUGGAGUUUCACGAAUUAAAGGACACAUGCUCUCUUAUGAUUUUGGAGAAAAGCAUGGAGAGGAAAGCAAAUUCAUUGUGGAAUGGCGCUAAAGCACUGUCUUACUUUUAUGAGCCAAGAUUGAAAAACAACGUCAAAGAAGAGAGAGAGAAAGAAAAGAGAAACGGGAUUCAGAGAAAGAUGUAGUCGAUUUCAGGUAAUGAAAAGAAUAUUUAAAAGUUCAUUAAAUUAGUCCCCCUGACAUGAGAAAUGUGUGUCUUCACAUUCAGGGCUGGAGGCUUUAAAAGUGGCGGCUUGGCCCCACAUCAGGAGCCCUGUGCUUCUCUUGGGUGUUCCUGGAUCCACCUGCCAUAUGCUCUUUCGAAUGAAGACUCAACAAGAUAUAUGCCUGGAUCUGAAAAUACAGGCUUGCACAGUGAUGAGCAGAAAGAUUGAACUUCUGAGGGGGAGAGAACAAGCUGUUCUUUUCGUGCCUUUCAUCUGCAGAUUUUCAUGUUUCUUGUUUCAAAAGAGGUCGGCAGCUAAAUCUGACUUCUGCUAUAAUUAUUUUAAAGUGAAGUCAAAGAGCCGUUUUUGUUUCAACCAAGUCUAUGCUGAUUUUUCCUUCCAGAGGAUUGUCAAAAAGGUUUCAUGAAAUUCUGAACCUCAGCGUGUUGGACAUUAAGAUUAUUUCUGCAAUGUCAAGAAAAUGUCUAUUUUUUUUUUUUAACCCCGUAGUUGUCAUUUAAAUUUGGUGCAAACUGGGAAAUUGCAGGGAAUUUUCUCUAGGACUUUCUGUCCCCUAUUUCCGCACUGUGAACUGGACUGGCUCUGAUUCCUACUUCUUCUAAUAGGAAAGCCCUGUCUUAAUUUUGCAGUGGUAUUGAAAUACUUCCAUGUUGAACUUGGGAAUAAUUUGGCUGUCAGCCAGCUUUUGAAACUUUCUUCUGUAAGAUGUAUUUUUGAAUAGGCAGUAAGUGUUUUUCUUAGGACUUGGCUUUUGUUCAAGGGCCACCCUAGAAAACAAACUCAAGAGCAUCGAACAUGGAGUGCCUGUCAUGGCUCAGUGGAAACAAUCUGACUGGUGUCCAUGAAGACAUAGGUUCCAUCCCUGGCCUCGUUCAGUUGGGUUAAGGACCCAGCAUUGCUCUGAGCUGCGCUAUAGGUUGCAGACGUGGCUCAGAUCUGGUGUUGCUGUGGUUGUGGUGUGGGUCAGGGCUGCAGCUCUGAUUCAUCCCCCAGCCUGGGAACCUCCACAUGCCACAGGUGCAGCCCUGAAAAAAAAAAAAAGAAAAAAGGACAGCGAACAAUAAACCUCA
rnacentral:lncRNA from 9 species